GGCGUCUCAACGGGGUGCUAAAUUGCAGAAAACGGCAAGUUAGCUGAGAGCAAACCCGUCGAACCUGAUCCGGUUAACCCCGGCGGAGGGAUUUGAGAAAAAUAACGCC
rfam:Yersinia mollaretii ATCC 43969 contig01555, whole genome shotgun sequence.